rnacentral:tRNA from 1 species
AGAUGUUAGUAAAAAUUAUAAAGCCCUGUCACGGCUUAGUUGCCAGCUAAAUCUGACACAUCUAAU